CAGUAGCCGCGGUAAUACGGAGGAUCCAAGCGUUAUCCGGAAUCAUUGGGUUUAAAGGGUCCGUAGGCGGUUUAGUAAGUCAGUGGUGAAAGCCCAUCGCUCAACGGUGGAACGGCCAUUGAUACUGCUGAACUUGAAUUAUUAGGAAGUAACUAGAAUAUGUAGUGUAGCGGUGAAAUGCUUAGAGAUUACAUGGAAUACCAAUUGCGAAGGCAGGUUACUACUAAUUGAUUGACGCUGAUGGACGAAAGCGUGGGGAGCGAACAGGAUUAGAUACCCGUGUAGUCCCUGUCUCUUAUAC
rnacentral:rRNA from 1 species